UGGUUAAAAAAUACGCGUUUUGGCAAACCUAGUUUGAAAAGUGGUCUGUUCCUUAUUGGCUUUGAAAAAAUGUAAUAAAAUAAAUCUAUGCACUCAAAUCUAUAUGCAAAUCGGACUGGGGUUUGAAUUACCAACAAAAAAAUCCCCUAAUACUGUCAUUAUGGUAUAUACACCAACUGCAGUCUCAGGCUGACAUAAACGUAUGAGGACCUGACAGGAAACAACCGGAUGUUUGUGAGCCGAUACAGAUCUGGAAAUAGAUUGUUGCUGUGGGCGUCCUCUAAACCAACAGCCUAAAAGAAGAGAAAAUCAUCGAGAAGUCUGCCCGGUGCAAGCCAAUCAAUGCAGGAUUACCAGAGUGGGAACUCCUUAUUGACAUAGCCGAAUGUGGGCACUUCCAAGCGACGGAUAGUUGCUGUUGGAAUCCCCCCCGCUCUCCGCAAACCCUAGAGAAGAUUACCUCGUUUUGGCGUCGUUUUCUUUCCUCGUUUUCAUACAAUCAUUAUCUCCCCAUUCUACUGGUUGUCGCUCGUAAUAAUCUCUGCCCUGAUCCAAAGGAUGAAAGUAUCAGUUGAUAAAAACGACUGAGUAAACUGUUCUCCUGUAUCGUGCUAUGAAAGCUUCCUUCUGCGGCGGCAAUAAGUUUGCGAUAAUUCAACAGUUAAAAUCCCGUUGACGCAAAUGAUGUUAUCUGACAGACGAUAGAGACAUCAGUUCUGGCGCUGGAACUGUUGGGACAACGAUUACCUGAAGUCACGACUGACCCUCAAACCGGACAGAUGCCUGCUGGGCGUUGACUCAUCAUCUACAGCUGGGAGAGUGGAUCAGAGCGAACUCGCCCACAAGUGAGAGAAAGAAGAAAAAGAGGGGGUUAACUCGGGAACGCCCACGCAUCGUUUGGCUUGGAUUACCCCAUAUGGUACGACCCCCAUCCCUCCCCUCACAUCCACCACUCACGCUGAAAAAUUGAUUGAAAAAUAAUCUUGUGUUAUAACGAGUGUUGUGAACGAGACGACUACAAAACUCAAUUUGCCAUCCAGAUAAAUCGACGCCAAAGUCACGCCUGGUUUUUAUUUUUCAUGUAAUUAAAACUAUUUUCUAUAAACUCCCCCAUCUCCCCACCCACCCAGCUGAAGCGACGUAGUCUGCGAACCACGUCCUGCUAUAUCACGACCAAGGGUAUCCUCCGCUGUCUUUUGGCUUAUAUAACGAUGAGCUCUGAGAUUCGUGGAAGCACACGCGCAACAUCUGAAGUGAGCAGUAGAGACACAGAAGCUCACCAGUGGGACAAAUAGUGGAGACAAGAUGCACCGGCAUUGGCAGCUCGUGGGACUAGCCUCUCUUCUUCAAUUCUCCUCGGCGUUUCUGCUCGAUUCAGCGACUGUCCAUCAGAAUCCGUCCUCCAGAAUUCAGAAAUCUACAACACCGUUUCUCCCCGUACCACCAACUCUGCCACCGAGGAAGGUUACCCAAGAGCUACUACAACCACCAACCAUAAGUCACCAAGCAGUUACAACAAACAAACC